AUACGGAGGAUCCGAGCGUUAUCCGGAUUUAUUGGGUUUAAAGGGUGCGUAGGCGGCCUUUUAAGUCAGCGGUGAAAGUCUGUGGCUCAACCAUAGAAUUGCCGUUGAAACUGGGAGGCUUGAGUAUGUUUGAGGCAGGCGGAAUGCGUGGUGUAGCGGUGAAAUGCUUAGAUAUCACGCAGAACCCCGAUUGCGAAGGCACCCUGCCAAGCCAUGACUGACGCUGAUGCACGAAAGCGUGGGGAUCAAACAGGAUUAGAUACCCUGGUAGUCCACGCAGUAAACGAUGAUCACUAGCUGUUUGCGAUACAGUGUAAGCGGCACAGCGAAAGCGUUAAGUAAUCCACCUGGGGAGUACGCCGGCAACGGUGAAACUCAAAGGAAUUGACGGGG
rnacentral:rRNA from 1 species